UACAGAGGGUGAAAGCGUUAAUCGGAAUUACUGGGCGUAAAGCGCACGUAGGCGGCUUGGUAUGUCGGGUGUGAAAUCCCGGGGCUCAACCUGGGAACUGCAUCCGAAACUGCCUUGCUAGAGUAUGGGAGAGGGAAGCGGAAUUUCCGGUGUAGCGGUGAAAUGCGUAGAUAUCGGAAGGAACAUCAGUGGCGAAGGCGGCUUCCUGGACCAAUACUGACGCUCAGGUGCGAAAGCGUGGGGAGCAAACAGG
rnacentral:rRNA from 1 species